AGAGUUUGAUCCUGGCUCAGGACGAACGCUGGCGGCGUGCCUAACACAUGCAAGUCGAGCGGAGACAGUGAGUAGCUUGCUACGAGCUGUUUUAGCGGCGGACGGGUGAGUAACGCGUGAGCAACCUUUCCCAGACAGGGGAAUAACACACCGAAAGGUGUACUAAUACCGCAUAAGACCACGGGAUCACAUGGUUCUGGGGUAAAAGAUUUAUCGGUUUGGGGUGGGCUCGCGUCCGAUUAGGUAGUUGGUGAGGUAACGGCCCACCAAGCCGACGAUCGGUAGCCGACCUGAGAGGGUGAUCGGCCACAUUGGGACUGAGACACGGCCCAAACUCCUACGGGAGGCAGCAGUGGGGAAUAUUGCACAAUGGGGGAAACCCUGAUGCAGCGACGCCGCGUGAGCGAAGAAGUAUUUCGGUAUGUAAAGCUCUAUCAGCAGGGAAGAUAAUGACGGUACCUGACUAAGAAGCCCCGGCUAACUACGUGCCAGCAGCCGCGGUAAUACGUAGGGGGCAAGCGUUGUCCGGAAUAAUUGGGCGUAAAGGGCGCGUAGGCGGCUCGGUAAGUCUGGAGUGAAAGUCCUGCUUUUAAGGUGGGAAUUGCUUUGGAUACUGUCGGGCUUGAGUGCAGGAGAGGUUAGUGGAAUUCCCAGUGUAGCGGUGAAAUGCGUAGAGAUUGGGAGGAACACCAGUGGCGAAGGCGACUAACUGGACUGUAACUGACGCUGAGGCGCGAAAGUGUGGGGAGCAAACAGGAUUAGAUACCCUGGUAGUCCACACUGUAAACGAUGAAUGCUAGGUGUAGGGGGUAUCGACCCCUUCUGUGCCGCAGUCAACACAAUAAGCAUUCCGCCUGGGGAGUACGGCCGCAAGGUUGAAACUCAAAGGAAUUGACGGGGGCCCG
rnacentral:rRNA from 1 species